rnacentral:rRNA from 1 species
GACGAACGCUGGCGGCGUGCUUAACACAUGCAAGUCGAACGGACAGGCCCUGCUUUUGUGGGGUGCUCGAGUGGCGAACGGGGGAGUAACACGUGAGUAACCUGCCCUUGACUUUGGGAUAACUUCAGGAAACUGGGGCUAAUACCGGAUAGGAGCUCCUGCUGCAUGGGGGGGGUUGGAAAGAUUCGGCGGUUGGGGAUGGACUCGCGGCUUAUCCGCUUGUUGGUGGGGUAGUGGCUUCCCAAGGCUGUGACGGGUAGCCGGCCUGAGAGGGUGAACGGCCACAUUGGGACUGAGAUACGGCCCAGACUCCUACGGGCGGCAGCAGUGGGGAAUCUUGCAGAAUGGGCGGAAGCCUGAUGCGACAACGCCGCGUGCGGGAUGACGGCCUUUGGGUUGUAAACCGCUUUCGAAUGUGACGAAGCGUGAGUGACGGUAAUGGGUAAAGAAGCCCCGGCUAACUACGUG